UUUUCUUUUUGCUGUUGGCCAGGAAUCACUUUCAGCUCCUACAAGCCUCCCUCUGGUCCCAGCAAUGAGGCCUUUCAUGGCAGUUCACAACAUGGCGGUUUGCUUUCUCUCCAUCUGUUUUAAAGACUCAGCGGAUCAGGUCAGGCUCGCCCAGGACAAUAUCCUUUUUGAGAAAUCCAAAGUCAACUAAUUAGGUCUUCCUGCUACCUCUGUGUGUAACCUUUCCUUCAGGACUCUAGGGGAACAACACUUCCUAUAAUUGCUCACUUAUGAAGAACAAACUGUUUAUUCCAUGUAUUUGGGGUGAUUUGAAUAAACUUUUGCACAACGUUUUUAAACCAACGGAGGCCUGGGCUUUGACACACAAGACUGGCGGCUCGGCUGCAUUGUGUGCUCACUUCCUGGUUCCUGGUGGCAUUCUGUGUAUUUGUGGCUGCUGAAUAAGGGACUCAGAGUAAAACUGGGGGUUUCUGUACUGGCUUCCUCCCUUGAAACCAAGAUUCUCUCCCUUCAGAACUCAACUGUUCUAUUGCUGGUCUGCAGGGACCCAGUGUUCUACUUGCUGCAGGGGUCUAAGACUUGGUGCUGCGUUGUGCCCAAACAUGUGCUUCAUAAAUGCCAUUUUGCCCCAUAAUUCACCUCGAGUUUUUAUUUAAAUAUUUAAUGAUGCACAAAUUGGUGUAAGUGCCUCCUUAGGGAAUCUUGGGAAAGUACAGGGAUGUAAUCAAAUGGUUUGCAAAUUGUACUUAUUUAUUUAUAACUCUAAUUUGAAAAG